CAGCAGCCGCGGUAAUACGGAGGGGGCUAGCGUUGUUCGGAAUUACUGGGCGUAAAGCGCACGUAGGCGGCUUGGUAAGUUAGAGGUGAAAGCCUGGAGCUCAACUCCAGAAUUGCCUUUAAGACUGCCGAGCUAGCAGGUGAGAGAGGUAAGUGGAAUUCCGAGUGUAGAGGUGAAAUUCGUAGAUAUUCGGAAGAACACCAGUGGCGAAGGCGGCUCACUGGCUCAUACUGGACGCUGAGGUGCGAAAGCGUGGGGAGCAAACAGGAUUAGAUACCCGCGUAGUCCCUGUCUCUUAUAC
rnacentral:rRNA from 1 species